GAUAAACGCUGGCGGCGUGCAUAACACAUGCAAGUCGAACGAUGAAGCUUAAAAGAUUUCUUCGGAAUGAACUUAAUUGGAUUAGUGGCGGACGGGUGAGUAACGCGUGAGUAACCUGCCUUGUACAAGGGGAUAGCCGUUGGAAACGACGAAUAAUACCCUAUGACAUCAAAUAAUCGCAUGAUAAUUUGAUCAAAGAUUUAUCGGUAUAAGAUGGACUCGCGUCUGAUUAGCUAGGUGGUAGAGUAAAAGCCUACCAAGGCAACGAUCAGUAGCCGGCUUGAGAGAGUGUACGGCCACAUUGGGACUGAGACACGGCCCAGACUCCUACGGGAGGCAGCAGUGGGGAAUUUUGCACAAUGGGGGAAACCCUGAUGCAGCGACGCCGCGUGAUUUAGAAGGCCUUCGGGUUGUAAAAAUCUUUUGUAUGGGAAGAAAAUGACAGUACCAUACGAAUAAGGACCGGCUAAUUACGUG
rnacentral:rRNA from 1 species